AUACUUACCUGGCAGGGGAGAUACCAUGAUCAAGAAGGUGGUUCACCCAGGGCGAGGCUCAGCCAUUGCACUCUAGGUUGUGCUGACCCCUGCGAUGUAGUUGUUAAAAGAAUAUAAAGUCUAAAGAUAAUUUGUUCUGCAUUAUACAUGUUCCUGUCGGGAAUCGAACUCAGAGCCUGUU
ensembl:snRNA U1 U1 spliceosomal RNA